GACGAACGCUGGCGGCGUGCUUAACACAUGCAAGUCGAACGGGAUUUAGUAAACGGAAGCCUCGGUGGAAGAUUACUAAUGAGAGUGGCGAACGGGUGAGUAACGCGUGAGCAACCUGCCUAUGACAGUGGGAUAGCCUCGGGAAACCGGGAUUAAUACCGCAUAAAAUCGUAGAAACACAUGUUUCAACGGUCAAAGAUUUAUCGGUCAUAGAUGGGCUCGCGUCUGAUUAGCUAGUUGGUGAGAUAACAGCCCACCAAGGCGACGAUCAGUAGCUGGUCUGAGAGGAUGAACGGCCACAUUGGAACUGAGACACGGUCCAAACUCCUACGGGAGGCAGCAGUGGGGAAUAUUGCACAAUGGGGGAAACCCUGAUGCAGCGACGCCGCGUGAACGAAGAAGGUAUUCGUAUCGUAAAGUUCUGUCCUAUGGGAAGAUAAUGACAGUACCAUAGAAGAAAGCUCCGGCUAAAUACGUG
rnacentral:rRNA from 1 species